rnacentral:tRNA from 1 species
UGAACGAUGACUACGCUUACAUGGCGUACUC